AGGGAUUGAACUCAGCGGCAUAGAGCCACAUCCCCAACCCUUUUUGUAUUUUAUUUAGAGACAGGGACUCACUGAGUUGCUAAGCACCUUGAUUUUGCCGAAGCUGGCUUUGAACUGGCAAUCUUUGAACUCGUGAUCCUCCUUCCUCAGCCUCCAGGGCCGCUGGGAUUACAGGCCUGCGCCACCACGACUGGUGUGAGUUAUUAGUUCUAAAAGGUGUGCGUGUACAUGUGUAAAAUCUUUAGAGCCAUCCUGACAUCCCAUUUGGGUAAUUAACCCUGUCCUCCAAGGUCACUCCUUGUGAAGGCUUCCCUGAUGCCUUCUUUCCCCCCAACUGGUGUAUGCUCCUCACUUCCGCUGCUUUUCUUCUCCAUAGAACCUUCUUCUGCUGAGCGGGCGCAGGCCUGUAAUCCCAGCGACCUGGGAAGGUGAGGCAGGAGGAUCACAAGUUCCAGGCCAGCCUCAGCAACUUAGCAAAGCCCUAAAGCAACUUAGCAAAACCUUAUCUCAAAAUAAAAAAUAAAAAGAUCUGGGGAUGUGGCUCAGUGGUUAAAUCCCCCUGGGUUCAAUCCCAGUAUCAAAAAACAAAACAAAUGAAUCUACUACCAUUGCUGUUGUGGUUUUCCUUGAAUUUCUUCUUCUUCCUCCGGCACAGGGCAUUGAGCCCAGGGCCUCCUGUAUGCUAGGCAAAAGCUCUACCACUACACUGUAUCCCCUGCCUUAUUUAUUUAUUCGUCUAUUUAUCUUGAGACAGGGUGUCACUAAAUUGCUGGGGCUGGCCUUGAACUUGCCAACCUCCUGCCUCAGCCUGCAGAAUAGCUGGGAUUUCAGCUGUGUGCCAUAGCACCCGACUUGGAUUCAUUUUUUCCUGUGUGUUUUCCCAUGACUGUCCUUUCCCCACUCAGGUAAAGUUCUACAGCCCUGGGAGGACACCGUCCCCUUGGGAGUAAGCACAGCACCGCCCCCUGCAGACCCUCCAGAGUGACCAGCUGGUGGUGAAGGCCCAAAGGACAUCUGUCUUCAUGGGGAGACCCUAAGUCAUUCUUUCCAGAUGCAUGGGUCUGGGGUGCUUGUGUAGGGCCUACUGUGGUCACUUGGUUAAGACCUUCAGCCUGAAUCCCUACCUCCCCUUGUUAGCUAGCGAGGCAGGGCUGGCUACAGUUCUUGCUACCUAGGCGGGCUCACUGUCCGUGGAACCCUUUACAUUCUGGUUGGCUUGGGCCACUUCCAGUUUGGGAGUCCAGAGGGGUGGAAAAAUGGGUGCAUGCACUGGCUGAGUCCCAACCCUACUGAGGGUCAGGGAGGACGGUGGCCCUACCAUGGUCUCAGACACCUCCACUUUCCAGGACAGUGGCACAUUCAGUGUUCCAGAGUCCUGGGCUGCAUAAAAAAGGACCACAGACCUAGACAGCAGACAUUUAGUGUCUCCAACUUUAGAGGCUAGAAGUCUGAGCUCCAGGUGUCUACAGGGCCACACUCACACAGGUGCUAGGGAAGGAUCUGUUCCAACCACUGUCCAUCUUCUGGUAGUUGCUUGGCCUAUGGUAGUCACUCCAGUUUUCCCACAGGAUUCUCUCUGUGUGUGCCUCUCCUGUGUCCAUGUUUUCCCUUUUUAUAAAUUCACCAGUUGUCCUGGAUUAGGGCCCAAUGUACUCCAACAUAACCUUGUCC
rnacentral:lncRNA from 1 species